AGGAAGUAGAGGUGGAUCAGCUGAUGCUGGUUGGGUUUGUUGUUGCUGUCCAGUGGAUUCAGGAUGCAGGACUCUGUGAAUCCAGCUGACUGCAAGUAUCAGUUUGGUAGCUGCGGAGAGUGUGAUCCAACCUCCGGUUGGCGGACCAGAUCUGUCUCCAAGCCUCGCCCUGGAACAACCAAAACAUAAACCAAAGAUGUGUUUGAGGCCGGGUGGGGCUGUCGGACAGGAGAGGACACGCUCACUCUCCUCCACACCUGAGGCUGAUUGGUAACUGGCACCAGAUAGCACCUGUGCUCCAGCGCCAGUGGAUUGUUCCUCCCUCCAGCGCCUCCCUGGUGGAUCGACGCCUUCUGCAGCCAAGCUCCAGCCUCAGCGGUUCUGCCUCCCGGUCCCUUUGGAAACCUUCCCUCCCUCACUCAGCUGCCCUCACAUGCUUCCUGGUUGGGCGGGGUCUCCAGAUGGGAGAACUCCUGGAUAAAGCCUGCCUCCACCUCUGCUCCAGCGUCAGUAGAUGGAAAGAAGAGAAAAGCCGAGGGGGGAACCAGGAACAGGCCGGAGAGACGAGAUUCCAGAAAAAAAAUCCAUCGAGGUCGUGCAGGUGUGGCAGACCGCAGACAAGACUCGGGAAAAGAUGAGUGACGUGGCUGCAGCUGUCAAAGAGAAGCAGGAAAUGAACGUGUUAAAAGACCAAAGUCACUGUUCGAUGAUGUUUGUCGACAUAUUACAGCGAUGUGUUUUUCUGACAAACACACUUCACUGACAUGUUAUGCUAUGUUUUCUAUGCUAAACAAUACUAUGAUGUAUUUUCAACCAUAUACUGCACCAUGAUGUUUUUUCAGUGAUGCUGUGACAUUUUGUAGUGCCUUUGACAACAUAUGACAUGUUUUAAGGACAUACUAUGACAUCAUUUUGCUGACAAGCUGUACUAUGAUGUUUUUGUUUUGAUGACCUGUUAAUUUGCAAACACGGUAUAUUGUGGCUUUAUCUGCAGUGCUAUGACUUUUAUUUGAAGACGGACUAUAAAAAUGGUUUGUUUGUUUUUUAUUUGGAGACAUACGAUCCAAGGCCUUUGAUUUAUUUUUUUGGCUGACAUAGGACACUUCUUCAUAGUAUGCGUUUCAAGUUUUAUCAAUGACAUACAUAACUUGUUUUUUUUUUUCUUUUUCUUCUCCCCCCCCCACUGUUAUGGAAUCAGCUCCCAGGUUGAGACUGUCUCUGCUUUUAAGGGCUGCUCAGGAUCACCUCAGCUGUCCCUCAGUUAUUAUGUUGAUAUAACUUCAACAACAGAAUCACCCUUGCAGCCUCAUAUUUGGAUGCCCUGUCAUUCUUGGUUAGCAAAAACUUGUC